rnacentral:rRNA from 1 species
AUGCGAUGCACCCUUCCUUUGACGAUCAUGGAGUUUCGCCACCCCCAACAAGGUGGAAGGGCUCGUGCAAGGCGGCCCGGUGCAACAACAAGCUCAUCGGUGCCAAGUCACUCGUUCAGGGUGAUGAAUUUGGCGACAAAGAGGGGCACGGAACGCACACCUCGUCCACUGCCGCCGGGAACUUCGUCACCGGCGCAUCAUACCAUGGUGCGGGCGUGGGCGAGGGCACCGCGGCCGGAAUUGCUCCUGGCGCUCACAUCGCCAUGUACAAGGUAUGCGCCAAUAGCCGCUGUAAGCAAUCUACCGUUACUGGCAGGCCUAGAAGAGGCCAUCAAGGAUGGUGUGGACGUGCUCUCGCUCUCCCUUGGCGGUGACACGAGUGCCAGCUUCGAUGAGGACCCCAUUGCUAUCGGUGCAUUCAGUGCUGUGUCCAAGGGCAUCCUCGUGGUGUGCGCCGCCGGCAAUAGCGGUCCGAGGCCGGGCUCGAUCACCAACGAGGCGCCGUGGUUGCUCACGGUCGCCGCCGGCUCCGUGGAUCGGAGCUUUGCUGCCAGCCUGCAUCUCGGCAAUGGCAAGAGCAUCGACGGAGAAGCACUUACCCAGAAAGUGAGUCCGAGUUCAAAGUCACACCCUCUCCUCUACUCCGAGGAACGACGGUGCUGCAAUUACAAGAGUGGCAGUGGCAUCACCGGUAAGAUCUUGGUCUGCGAAGGCACUAGGUCGAAGACUCAACAAUCCAACAUCCACAGAAUAGUGGGUGCUGGUGCGGCUGGUGUGGUGCUUUUCAACGAUGAAAUCAGCGGCUACGCCACCAUGGUUCAGGAUUACAACUCCAGUGCUGUACAGGUGAGCGCGGCCGACGGCGAUGUCCUCAUAGCUUAUGCCGCGUCAUCAGAGAGCAGCUCCGUGGCCUCUCUCAUCUACAACAACACACUGUUUGGUGUCCGUCCGGCCCCCGUCGUGCCCUUUUUCUCUUCCCGUGGUCCAAGCGUCAUCGCCGUCGGCAUCCUAAAGCCGGAUAUAUUGGCACCAGGCCUCAACAUCCUCGCCGCGUGGCCGCCAAGCACGGGCUCUGGAAAGGGCACUUUCAACAUCAUAUCAGGAACAUCCAUGGCAACGCCACACGUCAGUGGUGUCGCUGCGCUUAUCAAAAGCAUCCAUCCUGACUGGUCGCCAGCCGCCAUCAAGUCUGCCAUCCUAACGACGUCGGACAUCGUUAAUAGCACUGGUGGCUCAAUCUUGGACGAGCAACAUAGGAAGGCCGGCGUGUAUGACACAGGCGCCGGCCAUGUGAACCCGACCAGAGCCGCAGAUCCUGGCUUGUUGUAUGACCUCAGUGUCACCGACUACGCCGGCUACAUCUGCUGGCUCCUCGGUGACAGCGGCCUAGCAACCAUCGUGCGCAACUCAAGCUUGACCUGUGCGAAGCUGCCCAAGGUCCACGCUGUGCAGCUUAACUACCCGACGAUAACCGUGUCAGCGACAUCGACGCCAUUCACAGUGAAGCGGACUGUGACGAACGUUGGGCCAGCAAACUCGACGUUCACGGCGAAGGUGGAUGCGCCAAGAUCACUGACAGUGCGUGUCUCCCCGGAGACGCUGGCAUUCUCCAAAACUGGAGAGAAGAAGACCUUCAGCGUGUCUGUGAGCAGCCACGGCUUGGGCGAGGAGCUGCACGUGGAGGGAAGCUUGAGCUGGGUAUCGGAGAAGCAUGUCGUGCGGAGCCCCAUCGUUGCUGUCUCCCCAAGAGGCGAUACUGCUCCGGACCCAUCACCAUGA